UUUUGUUUUAUCUUCUUUAAAAUUUUGCAGUGACCCAAACACACCAGGAUUCAACUGGGUUUUGACUCCCUUGGAACUACAGAGACAAAUAUUAUAAAAUCUGAAAUGAUAACAUUUUCACACGGAAAGCGUAUCAAGGAGACACUCAUAUCAAGGUUUCACAGGACCAGAUCCUCAACUAGUGCGAAUCGGAGUUGCUCCACUGACUUCAAAUGAGCGCUACGUUGACUUCAAUUGGCCUGCAAUAAAAUGAACUGUGGAGGAGGACGAGACAAAAAAGGAAGAGAAAGGGAGACGAGGAGGACAAAGC